rnacentral:sRNA from 1 species
GGCGAACUCUGCCCGGAUGAGGAACAAAGCAGUGGGGCAGGCGCGUGCGCCCCCAGCGCAGCUGGCAGGUUGGGCAGCCCCCUUCCCGAAGCUUCUGGACGGAAGGCCCCAGGUGUUCCCCGAGAUGCCCCAACCCGUGGCGGGGUGCACGGCCACCGGCCCUCGGGAGAAGCUGGGCGGCCCCGGGCGACCCCGGGGACGAGUGGCCGCGUCGGUGCAGCGGUUGUGAGCAAGAUGCGGUAGCACGUGACCCUGGAACGCAAACCCUGAUGCCUGUUCCCCACCACCCGAGCGCUCCUUUCUCUGACAUUUGGCCCCAAGCCGAUGCAUCACAGGAUGAAUGAAAUGAACCUGAGUCCAGUGGGGAUGGAGCAGCUGACUUCAUCCUCUGUGAGCAAUGCCUUGCCAGUCUCAGGAAGUCACCUGGGAUUGGCUGCCUCACCCACUCACAGUGCCAUCCCUGCCCCAGGUAGAAAUGAAAUAUUCUCACCAUAUAAAAUGGCCUCCCAGUGGCAAUUCCAAACCUGGGUCCCUCCCUGAGCUCUCUGCCUUCUGCUCUGUCUUUAAUGCUACCAAUGGGUAUUG